CCUCCUCCCUCCAGCCUCCCUCUCACCAGUGCCUGCAGGUGCCUCAGGGAAGCAGAGCUCAGAGCCUAACCUGCCCUCUGCCACCCAUCCAGUCAGUCUCCGUCCAGCAGGUGCAGCUGGGAGGUCACCCUGGGCUUCUCCCCACCAGCGGGGAAGCAGAACCAUGCUGGGUCCCCUCGCCUUCCUGUGCGCCCUCCUGUUUCCAGGUGGCGUGGCAGCGAUCAGUCUGACUCAGCAGGCUGUGGUCGUGGGGCGUGUGGGCAGCUCGGCCACCCUGUCCUGCCAAGCCAGAGCCUCCGUCAGCUACAUCCACUGGUACCUCCACCAGGAGGGGACUGACCCCAAGAGGAUCCUCAUGCUGGACAUGUCAAGGUUAUAUGUGCAGAGGUAUGGGGGCUUGGAAGUGGACAAAAUCGAUGCCAAGAAAGGCAAGGAAAGCAACAGCUGUGAACUGUCAGUGAAGAAGCUGCAGAAGAGCGACGAGGGCGUGUACUACUGUGCUUGGGAGUGGUAUGAUGGGUAUGGCUGGUAUAGCUGGGGCAACAAAGUGUUCGGUCCUGGCACACUGCUCAGGGUCGCAGAUAGAAGCCUUGAUGCAGACCCUUCCCCCAAGCCCACACUCUUUCUUCCUUCAAUGGCUGAAAUAAAAUUCGAUAGGACUGGAACGUAUCUUUGUCUUCUUGAGAAUUUCUUCCCUGAUGUUGUCAAGAUAGACUGGAAAGAAAAGAACAGCAAAAGAAUUCUGAUAUCCCAGCAGGGAAACACCAUGAAGACAAAGGACACAUACAUGAAAUACACCUGGUUGACGCGCACUAAAAAGUCAAUAAAUAAAGAACACAAAUGUAUCUUCACACAUGAGACUAAUAAAGGAGGGGUUGAUCAUGAGAUUGCUUUUCACUCAAUGAAAAAAGAGCUCGCGGUCAUUGAUUCUAUAGAAGCUUCUCUGAAAGAUGAAAAUG